rnacentral:lncRNA from 1 species
AUGAGGCCUGGGAGGUCCAUGAGCCCUGGACUGAUGGGACCCCUUGGUGUCCAGAAUUUCAUGGAUAAAGAAGCUGUUGAGGAUUCAUUGUCCAUAGUGGAGCCCAGACUGAAACCAGUUUUAGAGAAAUCAACUCUUGACAGGUUCCUAGCAGAAGAGCUCUCUCCAGGCCCUGCUGGCCUCGGUCACCUCUGUAAUGUCACAGAGAGAAAUCUCAGCCAGUCUCUCUCCAAAUCAAUGAUCAAAUCCACCAACUUUUCAAAUUUUCCAAAAUCUUCUCAACCAACUGUCACCUCUUUGUCUCAGGAUUUUCUGGGGGAAAACCAAAACCUCCAACUUCUGAGUGUGAAAGUCCCAGAGUGACUGUUAUUUUUCCUCAGACCCCUAGGGCUCUCCAGAAAUUCAAACUCUCUAACCUAGCCAGAAUACCAUAGCAAACUUAAACGCUCUCUCUGUAACUUUGAAGCUCUAUGCAUGAAACCCUAUUCUUAACUAAAAUAUAUUACUAAUUUUAUCAAGAAAUUUUGUUA